UAGGGAAUAUUGGACAAUGGGUGAGAGCCUGAUCCAGCCAUGCCGCGUGCAGGAAGAAGGCGUUAUGCGUUGUAAACUGCUUUUUGCCAGGGGAUAAAAAGACCGUGCGCGGUUAAUUGAAGGUACCUGGUGAAUAAGCCACGGCUAACUACGUGCCAGCAGCCGCGGUAAUACGUAGGUGGCAAGCGUUGUCCGGAUUUAUUGGGUUUAAAGGGUGCGUAGGCGGUUUAUUAAGUCAGUGGUGAAAGACGGUCGCUCAACGAUUGCAGUGCCAUUGAUACUGGUAGACUUGAGUAUGAUUGAGGUAGCUGGAAUGGAUAGUGUAGCGGUGAAAUGCAUAGAUAUUAUCCAGAACACCAAUUGCGUAGGCAAGUUACUAAGUCAUAACUGACGCUGAGGCACGAAAGUGUGGGUAUCAAACAGGAUUAGAUACCCGGGUAGUCCCUGAGCGGGCUGGCAAGGCGCAU
rnacentral:rRNA from 1 species